ACGGGAGGCAGCAGUGGGGAAUAUUGGGCAAUGGGCGAAAGCCUGACCCAGCAACGCCGCGUGAAGGAAGAAGGUUUUCGGAUUGUAAACUUCUUUUAUCAGGGACGAAGAGAGUGACGGUACCUGAUGAAUAAGCCACGGCUAACUACGUGCCAGCAGCCGCGGUAAUACGUAGGUGGCAAGCGUUAUCCGGAUUUACUGGGUGUAAAGGGCGUGUAGGCGGGACAGCAAGUCAGAUGUGAAAGCACGAGGCUCAACUUCGUGUCUGCAUUUGAAACUGCUGUUCUUGAGUGCUGGAGAGGCUAACGGAACUCCUAGUGUAGCGGUGAAAUGCGUAGAUAUUAGGAAGAACACCAGUGGCGAAGGCGGUUAGCUGGACAGUAACUGACGCUGAGGCGCGAAAGCGUGGGUAGCAAACAGGAUUAGAUACCCUGGUA
rnacentral:rRNA from 1 species